rnacentral:lncRNA from 1 species
GCGCGCCGGAGUCCGAGCGGGGCGGGCAGCGAGCAGGCUGCACGGCGGCCGCGACUCCGGGAGGCUGCAGGCCCCGCCCGCCGGCCGCCCAGGCUCUUCCCCUUUUCUCUCCACCCUCUGCUCUGUCCCGCACGCCCUGCAAGGAAGCCAGACCGGUUUGCAGCAGCAGAGCAGCCCGCAGUCGGACCUAACGCUCUAGUCGGCACAGGAAGAGAGCGACUCCCUCCCAGUUGGGUCGAAGCAAGUGGUACAGUUCAGCUUUAUCACUUCCUUCCACUUUCCCCUCCUCAGACAAAACAAAACACUUGUGGGAAAGAAAACUUGCGUUCUGUCAGAGGAAGACCAGCAUUUGAUGACCCUUGCUUGAGGACACUCCCUUGAGGCUCUACAAAGAGCACCUGCAGGCAGUUUUGAAAUCUUUUAACAACCCCACCCCCAACCCCAACUCGAGUGAAUUUGUGGUGGUUUAGUAUCACCCUGGAAUGAAGCAUAAAAAUUCCUUUAUAACAAAAAAUGCAUUGUUCUUAAAGUUUUAUUCACGUAAAGCUGACAAAUCAAAUAGAUGUGUAUUGUUAGGGACGGUAUCUCCAGUGUUCUUCCAGGUGUGUGUGGCCGCUACUAGCGAUUUAAGGCAUCACUAACUUAGGACUUGGGUCCAAGCAUUCUGGACUUAUUAAAGCACAGAGUAAGAACAUGUGUGUGGUCCAGCUUGCACGCUUUUCAGAUGAGAAAACCGUAGCCCUAAGACAUCCAGUAACUCACAGGCGAGGACACAGUUUUCCUUACUCUUAGUCCUUGAACAAAAAGUAACAGCAAUACUGACUUAACAGAGUUCAAGAUGGGGCCAGUGGAGGGGGCAGCAGAGAAAGAGCAGCGGAUCAAAGAUCAAAGAACCUUGCAACCAACUGCUGUGAAUCACUGUAUAGGGGGCAGCAUCUCACCGCUCUGAGUCGCGGGCUGGCUGGAAUCUGGGGCUGGGGAAAUCAGUCUCCCUGUCGCGUGCCUCAGACUUCCACUCUGAACUUCAAGGAGUGGGAAGUGGAUUUGCUUCCCAGAGAGGCGAUGCCAUAGGGGAUAUGAAAACAGGCGAAGCCAAAUCUGAAUGACCUCUCAGUGGAUCAAAAGCGCUCAGAGGCGUUAGACUCCCACACCCCAAUCCUGCACAGCUGCUUUCUCCAUUAGAACCUAAUCUCCCAGGCAAACAACCUUGGGCUUCUGGUAGAGAAGUCCCAAAGCCAACUGCUUACAGGACAUUUGUAGAGAUAACACGGUGAAACUGGACUCUAAGAAUUUCCCCACGAGCCUUAUACCCCAUUGUUAGUUCCAUGUAUGAAAGACAAAACAAAACAAAACAAUCCUUCCUGAUCUACUUAUAUCGGUGGGAUUUCAGGAAAGCCAUCCUCUAUUGGAAAUGAAAGAUCAUCAAUGUCACUAGCAAUAGUGACUUGGCCAGAAAAAUCGUGAAACCUAUUUAAAAACUAGAAAAUAAUCAUUUAAACAAAGUCUUAAAAUUAUUAUUUAUUUCCAUACAGAGGAGACAUGUAUGUUUCUUAUAGCAGAUAUAACAACAACAACAACAACAACAAAACAAAAACAAUAAUGGCUCCCAAGUAAUAGCUUCCCUCUAUCCAAGGCUUUUCCUCCUGGAAUCUACCACAUGAUCUACUUUGGCCAAUGGAGUAAGUACACUCAUGAUAUAAUGGUAGUCUUCAAAACUGUGCAUUUCUGUAUCAGCUCUUGGAAUUCUGCCAUUCCCAGGAGAACAAGACCUACCUCUAGACAAAGACCAUUGCUGGAGGAAGUACAUCACUGGGGGUGGGCUUUGAGGGUUUAUAGCCUCACCUUACUUCUCUCUCUCUCUCUCUCUCUCUCUCUCUCUCUCUCUCUCUCUCUCUCUCUGGUUUUUUGAGACAGGGUUUCUAUGUGUAGCAAGAGCUGAGUCACCAGCGGGGGUCACCUUGGCUAGCCAGCCCUCCUUUGUUUUCAGAGGAACAAGCAAGUCCCAGUGAGCUUAGUCAGGCUUGGUCCAGAUCAACAGACCGUAUAUACGCAAACCAUAGGCUCAUAACAAAUACUAAGUAGCUACUGCUGUAGACAACUACUUCAGUUAUUUACUGCUUCAUGACAAACUGCUUCACCUCAUGAGAAACACAGUAUCGGCUGCUUUACUGGAAACUCACUUGGCUUUAUUCACCAGGCAGCUAGACAGAGUUGCAGGGUGCUAGAAGGCUUUGCUCACAUAGCAGGUAACUUGGUCCUCAGUGAUAUAACUAACUUCUUACUGCCCAGAUAGCUGACUUGGGUUUCUCUGCAGCAAGGCACCCCUACUUCUUCUGUGCAUCUAAUUUCUAAAAGGGGGUGGCUAGAAACUGCCAGGUAUUGUGAAGCCUGAACGUGGAAGUUCUCUGUUAUUGUCAACUCUGGGUAGUUUAUCUACUGUGUAGACUGCAGCCAGGGAAUCAAAAACAUAAGAACCCCAGGGGAAAGGGUUGUAGCCAUUGACAUGGGACAGUAGCGCCUUUGCCUUCCACAACGUUAGAGUUGCCUUCUUCUCAUGGAAAUAUAAUUGCUAACCAGACAAAAGGGCUUACAUGUUUUGUAUAGCUUGAUUUUUCUAAUUGCAGAGGGCUGAUUUACCCCCAAGGACCCUGUGCUCUCUAAUUUCAAGUUCACUCUUAACAUUGACCACAUCUGAAAUCUGAUGUCUACUUUCCUUUUUUGUUUGUUUAAUCUUCCUUUACUCUUUUCUAUUUCUUCUGAUCACUCUCUCUUCCUCCCUCAGCUCCCCCGCCUUCUCCUUUCUCCUUCCUGCCCUUUCUUCCUCCUUUCCUCUUGCCUUUUCCCUUUCUUUUUUAAACUUUCUAUCUUGAAUCUUAUAACUGAA